UGAGGUUUCAAAAGCCCACCCCAUAUGAAUCAAGAUGUAGCUCUUAACUACUUCUCCAGCACUGUGCCUGUAAUGUCUGCUACCACACUCUCUGCCAUGAAGACAAUGGACGAAGCCUCUGAAACUCUCGUCUGCCACAGCUCCUGAAAUGAUGUGCUGUAAAUACUACAGAGGACUAAGCAAUUAUAGAUCAAAAUCUCUAAAACUUCAAUCAAAAGUUCUUCCUGUGUUUUUCUCAGAGGACCUCACUGGGACAAGCUCUCUUUGUAAACAAGGCUGACUUUGAAUUCAAAGACACCCCCCACCCCCCCCCCACCUCCGUCUGAGCCUCAUAAAUACUAGGAUUAAAAGCGAACACUGGGCUGGAGAGAUGGCUCAGCAGUUAGGAGCACCGUCUGCUCUU